ACAACUAUUGCUAGAUUGAUACAAGAGUUUGAAUGGAGUCUAAAAGAUGGAGAACAAGAAAAUGUUGCAACAAUGGGUCUUACUACUCAUAAACUUCAUCCAAUGCAAGCUAAUAUCAAGCCAAGAAAAUGAUACCUUAAGAUUUUCAACUGUCAACUCUAUGAUAGGGAAGCUAGUUUGUGUUUGAUAGCUUUUGUUAUCAAUGCAGACCUCUUGCUUUAACUUCUCUAGUUAAAGCGCCUUAAAUAUUCUCAACCGUCAACUCUGUGUUUGAUAGCUUUUAUUUUCAACUGUCAACUCUGUGUUUGAUAGCUUUUGAUAGAAAAUGAUGCCUUAAUAAUGAUGCCUUGUGUUUGAUAGCUUUUGUUAUCAAUGCAGACCUCUUGCUUUAACUUCUCUA
rnacentral:lncRNA from 1 species